UACGGGGGGGAGCAAGCGUUGUUCGGAUUUACUGGGCGUAAAGGGCGCGUAGGCGGCGCAACAAGUCACUUGUGAAAUCUCCGGGCUUAACCCGGAGCGGUCAAGUGAUACUGUCGUGCUAGAGUGCGGAAGGGGCUACUGGAAUUCUCGGUGUAGCGGUGAAAUGCGUAGAUAUCGUGAGGAAGACCAGUGGCGAAGGCGGGUCUCUGGACAGUUCCUGAC
rnacentral:rRNA from 1 species